AUAUAGCUAGAUCAAAUUCAAUAAAUGGAGUUCGGUAAUAAUAUUAUGAAACUGAACCCAUAUGGCAGAAAGCAGAAGCGGCGGGUAUGUCUGUCCGGGUUCAUUCAUGUCCAAUAAACUUGAGUCAUGAAUUAUUUUUUGAAUUUUUAAAACAUUGAAUAAUAUAAUGCAGUAAUGAGAAUUGUUUAUCCUCAUAAUCAUAGAUCUCGCAUUCAAACCCUAGAUAUAUGAUAAAAAAUUUCUUAAUAUGGAGAGAUUCCUCUAAAGGGGCCCGUUUAUGUUGUGAGAAUAUCCUGAUAGAAUAAUAAUAAAAAUAAAAAUCGAUUAAUAAAAUAAAAAGGAAAUAAACUAUUUUUAGUACAUUACUUUCCAUUUUGAUUUUAUUAGUUGUGGAAAACAAUGAAGGAAUUAUGUGAUCAGACACUCGGAGGGUAAUAAAAGCAUCAGCAUAACUAAUAGGAUCGUAAUAAUUACUAAAUACUCUUUUAUUCUUGAUUAUAAUUCAGAAAUAUCGAUUUUGAGUUGUCAUAAUUAUGAAAUUAUCUUUGUUAAAAAGUGUUUUAUUCUUUUUGACAUGAUUUUAGAUCUAGUCGAACUCUAAAUAUCACUGCGGACACCGAUUAAAAAAAAACAUCAACAUGAAUGUUUUUUUUUUAAAUUAUACCGCGGUCAUUAUAUUGUUUAAUAAUUGCAAUUCUAAACCAUUGGAUUGAUAGAAAUUUGAAUCGAAGCCCUUGAUAACUCCACCAAAGUCAAAUUUUACUACUUUAAUUUCUGAUAUUUCAUUUGAGGAAAAUUGAUUUUUGCCUCAUGUGAUUAUGUUAGUUGGCUUUUCUCUCCUUCCAUCGUUGAAUAAAAAUGAAUAAGAAGUUUAUGAAAUUAUGAUAAUUAGAACUUUUUUUUUUCUUAUGUCAUAGUUAUAACUAUUACAAGAGAAACAGUAUCCUAUGACUUCGAAAGAAGCAAAGAGAUAAUGACAAAAAACAAACAAGAAAAAGGGUAUAAUUAACUCACUCAAAAUCUACUUUAUAACAUAUUAAACAACUUCUAUUAAUCCUUUUUCUACUCCAUGACAUGUGAAUGUUGGCUUGAGAAGUUUAAUUUGUUAGACAAAAUGAAAUUUUGUUCUUUAUAUUCGUCUUUUUUAUCUCAUUUGGAUAACAAUUCUGGCAUGUAAAAGAACGUUUUGUAAAAGAAUCCAAUAUAGACAGAAUUGAUCUUUUAAACCAUUUGCAAAUUGUAGAGAUUUUUAGCUUUAUACCUAAGAAUUACUUUGAAGAUAUUAUUUUUUCUGUUCAUUUUUUUUAAUUGGUCAAGAGAUCUUAAUUCCUUUUAAAAUAAAAUAAAAAUUUGUCAGUCAAUUCAGCACCUCAAUACACCUAAUAAAUGUUUCUAUUAGAUACUUUCAGCUUAAAUUUUUAGAAAAACUUUUGUGCAUACAGUCAAACGUUCAUUACGUAAAUAAAUUAAUCAAUUAAGAUAUAUCAUGAGCUUUCUUAACUAUUUACGUUAGUCUUAAAAAGUUAUAAAAACUCGAGUUUGUGCCGAUUGAGUUUGAUGUAUUUAAUUAAAUACCUCACGCAAACAAUUAAAGUAAUUUACGAAAGGUGCUUAUUUUCCCUUUUUUGUAUUUUUUUUUACUGAGGCACUGUUCAUGUAAUUUACAAAAUACACCCUCUAAAUAUCUUGAAUGGCAUAUUUACUUUUGUUUUCAUUUCUCCAAAUCAAAGAGUUGGUCCACAUAACUUUAGUAAAUAAUAUUUUAAGAACAUUUAGAAAUUAAAGUUGAAAAUGAUCAAGCAUAAGUCUUUAAACUUACUCCAUUUGUCAAGCCUUUGUAUUUAUUUAUUUAUUUCAUUUAUUGAUUUGUCUCCUAAAAUGACUACUUUUCAAAGUCCUCUAAUUUGAAAUUUCCGUUCUAACUUUUCACAAAAUGGAAAAUGUCUAAUAAUUCCUUUAACUCAUUUUUAUUUGUUAUAUUUGAAAUUGAAAUAUCGGUUAAGAAAAUAAUGAUGGAUAUAACUAUUUUAUUAUACUAUUUUUAUAAUUGAAGUUUAGUAUUAUGUCUUAAAAAUAAUUUGGAGAAUAGAUAAUUAGUACUAUGCAUAAACAUAAAGAAAUAUCCUGAUAUGUUAAAAGUGACAAGUGAAAGUAAAAAUCUAUUUUGAAUAGUAGACAAGUAAAAAUAAGUAUAACUUACAUAAAUUCUAUAUUGUAAUAUCUAAAUUACAUCUUAUCCCUAUUUUUUUCUAUUUUAAAAAAAAAACCCUUGAAAUAGAAGUCAUACGGAUGCAUAAGUUUCAUGUAGAUACAUUAAAUGUGAUGCAUUGUAACAACUGGCAAUUGCACCUUUCAAGGAAAACAGUUGAUUGUUGCGCUUUAUUAGGAAAAUUAACCUAGAAUUGAUUCUAGAUUCCACGAUUCAAGCAUAAGUGAUUAUUAUCAAUCCAUCCCAAUUCGCAACAGAUUCAUGUCUUUCAAAAUUCAAAUUUUCAUCAUCUCCAUCAAGUCGCCAUUGCAGUCCAAUUCGUGAAAAAUUCAAAUUACUCGGCAAUAUUGGCUGACACAAUAUAAAUCUAUAUUGAUUUUGUUGAGAGAAUCAAAAAUUUAGUAAGCAAGAUGAGUUAUGAAGGUUACAAAAGGAUGAAAUUGUCAAUCUCAAAGUCGCCAUUUCAGUCAACUUGGAAAUCGAUGAGCCUAGGUAAAUCUUAGAGAUUAGAUACAAGUAAUAACUCAUCUCCAUUGAAAACUAAAAACAAUAAGGGUGUAAAACUUCAUUUGAUGGUGAAAAAGACGAGCCUGGACUUGCAAUGUAUCCUCUAUGUAUUGAUACAACGGAGAAGAUUGGUGGAGAGACACAUAACUUUGAUAAAGGUAUCUAAUAGAAAAAGGUUGUUUCAUCAUCUGAAUUUAGUGCAUGAUCGACAAUGACUCUCAAAAUUUCUCUUCGCAUCGCUGCUGCCUUUAUGACGCUUUCCUCCUCUAUCAACAUUGACCAUAUACAUGAAUACUAAAUUUCAAAUUCGAAAUCUCUCUUAUUCUGCAAAAUAGAGAACACAACAUUGAUAUAGCAACUGAAUAUAUUUAAAUGUAUCAACUUUUAUGUAGUUAUGUAUCAUGCCCAUAAAAUUGUGCGUGAUACGUUACUAUUUAUAACUUUAACUUUAGGGUAAAAAGAUUCGAUAAUGAAAUAUAUUAAAUUACAUGUA